AUUGGUGAGUAACACGUGGGUGACAUACCUUUUAGAGGGGAUAGCUAUUAGAAAUAGAGGGUAAUACCGGAUAGAUCACUGUUUACGGAAGGUAGACAGUGGGAAAGGAGCUUCGGCUCCGCGCCGGGAUCGGUCUGCGGCCCAUCAGCUGGACGGCGGGGUAAAGGCCCGCCGUGGCGAGGACGGGUAUCCGGCCUGAGAGGGCGGACGGACACAUUGGGACUGAGAUACGGCCCAGACUCCUACGGGAGGCAGCAGGUAAGAAUAUUCCGCAAUGGGGGGAACCCUGACGGAGCGACGCCGCGUGAACGAAGAAGGCCGGAAGGUUGUAAAGUUCUUUUCUGUCCGAGGAAUAAGUGUAGGAGGAAAUGCCUGCAUGGUGACGGUAGGGCAGGAAUAAGCACCGGCUAAUUACGUGCCAGCAGCCGCGGUAAUACGUAGGGUGCAAGCGUUAAUCGGAAUUACUGGGCGUAAAGCGUGCGCAGGCGGUUUUGUAAGACCGAUGUGAAAUCCCCGGGCUCAACCUGGGAACUGCAUUGGUGACUGCAAGGCUGGAGUGCGGCAGAGGGGGAUGGAAUUCCGCGUGUAGCAGUGAAAUGCGUAGAUAUGCGGAGGAACACCGAUGGCGAAGGCAAUCCCCUGGGCCUGCACUGACGCUCAUGCACGAAAGCGUGGGGAGCAAACAGGAUUAGAUACCCUGGUAGUCCA
rnacentral:rRNA from 1 species